rnacentral:rRNA from 1 species
AGAGUUUGAUCCUGGCUCAGAAUCAACGCUGGCGGCGUGCCUAACACAUGCAAGUCGAACGGGAAAGGACUCUUCGGAGUCCGAGUAAGUGGCGAACGGGUGAGUAACGCGUGGGUGAUCUGCCCUUAUGGUGGGGGAUAACCCGGGGAAACCCGGGCUAAUACCGCAUGAGCCUUAAGAGGGAAAGCCUUCGGGUGCCGAAGGAGGAGCCCGCGUCCGAUUAGCUAGUUGGUGAGGUAAGAGCUCACCAAGGCGACGAUCGGUAGCCGGUCUGAGAGGACGGACGGCCACACUGGGACUGAGACACGGCCCAGACUCCUACGGGAGGCAGCAGUGGGGAAUUUUGGGCAAUGGGCGAAAGCCUGACCCAGCAACGCCCGCGUGGAGGACGAAGGUUUCUCGGAUCGUAAACUCCUGUCUAGAGGGACGAAGUAAGUGACGGUACCUCUGGAGGAAGCCCCGGCUAACUCCGUGCCAGCAGCCGCGGUAAUACGGGGGGGGCAAGCGUUGUUCGGAAUUACUGGGCGCUAAAGGGCGCGUAGGCGGUUUCGGAAGUCAUGGGCUGAAAGUCCUCGGCUCAACCGAGGGAUUGCCUGUGAACACCACGGGACUGGAGUGCUGGCAGAGGCGAAGUGGAAUUCCCAGUGUAGCGGUGAAAUCGCGUAGAUUUUGGGAGGAACACCGGUGGCGAAGGCGGCUUCCUGGUACAGACGCUGACGCUCGAGGCGCGAAAGCCAGGGGAGCGAACGGGAUUAGAUACCCCGGUAGUCCUGGCUGUAAACGAUGAACACUUGGUGUAGGGGGUGAUGAAGUCCCUCUGUGCCGGAGAGAACUCGUUAAGUGUUCCGCCUGGGGAGUACGGCCGCAAGGCUGAAACUCAAAGGAAUUGACGGGGGCCCGCACAAGCGGUGGAGCAUGUGGUUUAAUUCGACGCAACGCGAAGAACCUUACCGGGGUUUGAACUGGCGCGGGAAGCUGCAGAGAUGUAGCUGUCUUUUACGAGACUGCGUCAGAGGUGCUGCAUGGCUGUCGUCAGCUCGUGUCGUGAGAUGUUGGGUUAAGUCCCGCAACGAGCGCAACCCUUGUCUGUAGUUGCCAUCAGGUAAUGCUGGGCACUCUACGGAGACUGUCGGCGAGAAGCCGGAGGAAGGUGGGGAUGACGUCAAGUCCUCAUGGCCUUUAUGUCCCGGGGUACACACAGCGCUACAAUGGGCGGNACAGAGGGCUGCCAACUCGCAAGAGUGAGCGAAUCCCAAAAAGCCGUCCUCAGUUCGGAUUGCAGUCUGCAACUCGACUGCAUGAAGGUGGAAUCGCUAGUAAUCGCGGAUCAGAACGCCGCGGUGAAUACGUUCCCGGGCCCUUGUACACACCGCCCGUCACAUCACGAAAGUGGGCUGUACUAGAAGCCGCUGGCCGAACCUUCGGGGCGGAGGCGUCGACGGUAUGGCUCAUGAUUGGGGUGAAGUCGUUAACAAGGUA